AUUUAUAUAGUUUAAAUUAAAACUUUUCAUUUUCAAUGAAGGGAUAAGAGAUAUUUUCUUUAUAAAUA
rnacentral:tRNA from 1 species